rnacentral:rRNA from 1 species
AUUGAACGCUGGCGGCAUGCCUUACACAUGCAAGUCGAGCGGCAGCGCGGGGGCAACCCUGGCGGCGAGCGGCGAACGGGUGAGUAAUACAUCGGAACGUGUCCAGUAGCGGGGGAGUAACCUGUCGAAAGAUAGGCUAAUACCGCAUACGAUCCACGGAUGAAAGCGGGGGACCCAAGGGCAACCGAGGGCCUCGCACUAUUGGAGCGGCCGAUGUCGGAUUAGCUAGNGGGCGGGGUAAAGGACCCACCCAAGGCGACGAUCCGUAGCUGGUCUGAGAGGACGACCAGCCACACUGGAACUGAGACACGGUCCAGACUCCUACGGGAGGCAGCAGUGGGGAAUCUUGCGCAAUGGGCGAAAGCCUGACGCAGCGACGCCGCGUGAGGGAUGACGGCCUCGGUUGUAACCG